rnacentral:misc_RNA from 1 species
GCAUUUUCAAUUUUCAAACCAAAAAGCAAACAUGUUCACAGAGACUUCAAGAGUAACCAUCACAGGGCCAAAUCCUAAAGCAGUAACAGCAUAUUGCUAAUUUGUUAGGCCUGCAACAAUUCUGGAAAUAGUUCACAAAAACUCUCCCUUGGCCAUUGGGACAAUCCAGGGUCUGAUUAAUUGGACAAGGAGAACAUAUUCCUAGAGUUAUCAUCUGUUUGGCUUAAUUAAGAAAGAAAUGAUCAAUUCCACACGUUUAGAACAAUACCCCCAACAAUACACGACAAGGUACAGAUCUCCAUAAAAUAUUCUAGUCCAAAACGUAGCAAAAAGCCAAAAACAAACAGUAUCUCAAGAACACAGACAGAUCUUCAUGUUAUAACAUGAAAAUGGCUUUAAAUGAGUAAA